rnacentral:rRNA from 1 species
GGGGGCCCGCAAGCGGCGGAGCAUGCGGAUUAAUUCGAUGCAACGCGAAGAACCUUACCAAGGCUUGACAUUCACCGGACCGCCCCAGAGAUGGGGUUUCCCUUCGGGGCUGGUGGACAGGUGGUGCAUGGUUGUCGUCAGCUCGUGUCGUGAGAUGUUGGGUUAAGUCCCGCAACGAGCGCAACCCUCGUUCUAUGUUGCCAGCACGUGAUGGUGGGGACUCAUAGGAGACUGCCGGGGUCAACUCGGAGGAAGGUGGGGAUGACGUCAAAUCAUCAUGCCCCUUAUGUCUUGGGCUUCACGCAUGCUACAAUGGCCGGUACAAAGGGUUGCGAUACUGUGAGGUGGAGCUAAUCCCAAAAAGCCGGUCUCAGUUCGGAUUGAGGUCUGCAACUCGACCUCAUGAAGUCGGAGUCGCUAGUAAUCGCAGAUCAGCAACGCUGCGGUGAAUACGUUCCCGGGCCUUGUACACACC